CAGAAUUUGCAGCGGCAGAGUCAGAAGAACAAUCAUUAUGGGAAAGGGGAUUCCAAUCUGCAGUAGGUCGGCUAGAAGAGACCUAAUUCUGCCAGGUUGAGUUGCUGCCCUCAACCCUGUUUCUGCCGCUUCUUUCUCUUCUAUUUUCUGGACUUUCUUUCUCCUUUCCCUUGUAGAACACUUCCUCUCCAGUUUCCGCAAGGACAUAGCCUUCUCGGCCGACCUAUAGCAGCUAUUUCCCGCAAGGACUGUUCUUCCAACCUACUGACUUUGCUGCUGUUUCCUUGCUUCUGCCUUCUGCAGCAGCUUUUCCAGCCUGGUUCUCAUCGGAAUCAUCCAGCUCUUUCUUUCCAACGCGUCUACAUAUUUUCAUUCAAGGAUGUAAAGUCUUGCUGCUAUCAAACUACAUUAUGCUGUGAUGAAAUGGAUCGACAAAUGCUCCAUAAAGGAAAAGCAAGUGAACUUAGUUAAUGAGCAAUUGAAUAAACUUGGAGGUGGUGGUGGCAAGAGUUGUUAAGCUAAAAGUAUAAUUGAACCACCACUGUAAAGGAAGGAACAUAUACACCUUUACAACCGAAACUGCAGCUCCAGUCCCCCCAAAUGAUAGCUUGGAAGCAGCAAAGGUGGCCCAUGGUCACAUACUUGUGAAUGCAGAAAUGUAUCCGGCCCCACACAUAUAUAAUACAAUUGAGACCAGAAGCAUUCAUAUGUGGAUACAUUCAUAGAUAUUCAAGGAUAUCAGUAGAGUCAUAAUUUUUAAAGCAAGAAAAUGAGGAGAGCAUAUCGCAAAAUGUGGCGGGUGGUGCCGGACUGCACAAUCAAGAGAAUCUUGCGAACGGAAUCGAUGAGAGACAUAGAAGAAAUACUCAAGAGUAAGCUGGCAACCAUUAAGGAAGACGAGUCAGAAAGUGAUGAGGUGGAGAAGAGUACUGUAACACCAGCAAUAUUGGCCAGGAGUAAGAAGAGACCAGAAAUAAGAAAGAAGGGGCGGUUUUUUGUGGCUCACUUGAGCUUUAAAAACCGUAUGCUAUUCAUGACUGCUGGGUUGCAGGUUUGCCUCCAAAGAUAGCUUGCUUGAAUAUUAAUGGAAUUUUAAGCCAUGCAAGCUCGUAUAUGUAUGUUGGAUUCAGAAUAAGCAAGCAAUCAAGCAGAUUGAUUUCUUUUGUUUGGUCAAAUUAGAUAGAGUAAUUGGUGUGAUUUAUUUGACAUCUUUUAUAUAUAUAUAUCGGUAAUUAAUGUCAAAUCGCUUUGUGUUUUACGUUUGAUUUUUACGGGAUGAUUAUUGUGGGCGGGCGUGUGUUUAAAGAAUUAGAUGUAAAUUGUAAUAAAAAUUGAAAUAUUUUACAGCUCACUGACGUUAA